CGCUGUCUACGAGUCGGGU
rnacentral:snRNA from 1 species